CACAGGUGUGUGCCACAAUACCUGGCUAAUUUUUUUGUAUUUUUAGUAGAGACAGGGUUUCCCCAUGUUGCCCAGGCUGGUCUCAAAUUCUUGAGCUCAAGUGAUCUGCCCGCCUUGGCCUCUUAAAGUGCUGGGAUUACAGGUGUGAGCCAUUGCACCAGCCAAAUAGUGGGUUCUUGAUGAAAGACAAUUAGAUGGUAUCAUUUUUUUUCUCUAAUUAAUGUUCCAGAAAUCAUGUGUAUGUCUGGGCAUACCUGAGGAAAAAUCCCUGAAAGUAGGCAGAAUCAGUGGUAUCAAGAUUAUGAACAUUGAAAAUGUUGACAGCUAUUGAGAAAUUGCCCCUCAAGGGUGAGUACUUUUUUUUUAAAAAAAGAAUAAAUUUUAUUUAUUUAUUUAUUUAUUUUUCUUUUUUAUUAAUGAGAACACUUGGACACAGGGUUAGUACUUUUUGAUAGGGAAAGCAAGUUACCUCCCAAGUUUGUGAGUCAGCAAGUCAGCUGAGACACAAAGCAUCAAAGCCAGGGCAUUGAAUGUUGUGGCAAGAGGCGGUUCUGGAGCCGUCACCUCUGGAGGGGUCUCUGUUCCGGGGCUGGCUCCUUAUGCCUCAUUUCCCAGCUGAGCCCAUGGAGAUCUCUCGCUCCAAUCUGAGUCUCUGGGGCCUGGUAAAAUUCCCCUCUGUGUUUAGUCACCUCUUGAUUGGGAGCCAAAGCACAAAACCAGUCAGCCCCAUGAGCAGGAAUUACCUGUUUCUCAUCAACUCCGCUUGCCAGAACGAGAUGAUGACUGUUUGGACGAACGGAGGCAAGAUGGCGCACUUCCGGGUUCUUCAUCACCAACUUUUCCUGCGCACGUGAAAAUGCAGCCGGCGCCCGGGAAGGUGCAGACCAACCGGGCAUGCGCCAGGUGACAUCAAUCCGAAGAGACCAAGAUUUACCUGGUCGCACCUGCGGAAGGCCCCCCGACAUGCCCAUGCCCCGCCUAUUGCCCUCCCACUCCUAGAAAAGCCGCUCCUGGCAGACGCGCCGCGGGGACUUCCCAGACCCCACUCCUGUCGGGACUGCAUUAGGAACUCCGUCCGAGAGCUUCACCGGGUGACUCUCUUGGCUUCCUUUGCUGGAGGCCGACAGACUUCUCUCUACCCACUUUCUUCCCUGAAGCUAGGUGACCAAAAAUAAAUUUGCAGUUUUGCUCCUACCCUUGCCUACU
rnacentral:lncRNA from 1 species